AUUGAACGCUGGCGGCAGGCCUAACACAUGCAAGUCGAGCGGCAGCGGGAAAGUAGCUUGCUACUUUUGCCGGCGAGCGGCGGACGGGUGAGUAAUGCCUGGGGAUCUGCCCAGUCGAGGGGGAUAACUACUGGAAACGGUAGCUAAUACCGCAUACGCUCUACGGGGGAAAGCAGGGGACCUUCGGGCCUUGCGCGAUUGGAUGAACCCAGGUUGGAUUAGCUAGUUGGUGAGGUAAUGGCUCACCAAGGCGACGAUCCAUAGCUAGUCUGAGAGGAUGAUCAGCCACACUGGAACUGAGACACGGUCCAGACUCCUACGGGAGGCAGCAGUGGGGAAUAUAGCACAAUGGGGGAAACCCUGAUGCAGCCAUGCCGCGUGUGUGAAGAAGGCCUUCGGGUUGUAAAGCAUUUUCAGCGAGGAGGAAAGGUUGGUAGCUAAUAACUGCCAGCUGUGACGUUACUCGCAGAAGAAGCACCGGCUAACUCCGUGCCAGCCGCCGCGGUAAGAC
rnacentral:rRNA from 1 species